rnacentral:rRNA from 1 species
AACGAACGCUGGCGGCAUGCCUAACACAUGCCAGUCGAACGAGACCUUCGGGUCUAGUGGCGCACGGGUGCGUAACGCGUGGGAACCUGCCCUUAGGUUCGGAAUAACUCCCCGAAAGGGGUGCUAAUACCGGAUAAUGUCUUCGGACCAAAGAUUUAUCGCCUUUGGAUGGGCACGCGUUGUAUUAGCUAGUUGGUAGGGUAAAAGCCUACCACGGCGACGAUCCAUAGCUGGUCUGAGAGGAUGAGCAGCCACACUGGGACUGAGACACGGCCCAGACUCCUACGGGAGGGAGCAGUGGGGAAUAUUGGACAAUGGGCGAAAGCCUGAUCCAGCAAUGCCGCGUGAGUGAUGAAGGCCUUAGGGUUGUAAAGCUCUUUUACCCGGGAUGAUAAUGACAGUACCGGGAGAAUAAGCACCGGCUAACUCCGUG